rnacentral:rRNA from 1 species
GGGGGGGGGGGGGGGGGGGGGGAGGAGGGGGGGGGGGGAGGGGGGGGGGGGGGGGGGGGGGGGGGGGCGGGUGGGGAACGGGGGAGUAGCAAGUGAGUAAGGUGCCCUGGAGGUGGGGAAAACGUCAGGAAACUGGGGCUAAUGCCGGAUAGGAGCUCCUGCUGCAGUGUGGGGGUGGGGAGGUUUCGGCGGUUUGGGAUGGCCUCGCGGCUUAUCUGCUUGUUGGUGGGGUAGUGGCUUACCAAGGCUUUGACGGGUAGCCGGCCUGAGAGGGUGACCGGCCACAUUGGGACUGAGAUACGGCCCAGACUCCUACGGGAGGCAGCAGUGGGGAAUAUUGCACAAUGGGCGGAAGCCUGAUGCAGCAACGCCGCGGGCGGGAUGACGGCCUUCGGGUUGUAAACCGCUUUCGCCUGUGACGAAGCGUGAGUGACGGUAAUGGGUAAAGAAGCACCGGCUAACUACGU